rnacentral:lncRNA from 1 species
UCCUCUCUCUUUCUCUUCUUUCUGCUUUCACUAGAGAACCAGAAUAGCCCAAAGUAGGAACUGAUGAAUAAUCCUUAAGAAAUAAAUAAAUUAAAGAAGAACUUGCUAGGUGUCACUCCAUCAAAAUCCCUCAAACUUUAAACAAGCUGAGGUGCUGCUACAAGAAAUUUUCAACUCUUUAUUUAUGUAAUCAAGCUACUCUGUCAUUUCCUUAAAAUACUUUUUAAUCCUAACUUAAAAUACCUUUGCUG